rnacentral:rRNA from 1 species
UACGAAGGGGGCUAGCGUUGUUCGGAUUUACUGGGCGUAAAGCGCACGUAGGCGGGUCGUUAAGUCAGGGGUGAAAUCCCGGAGCUCAACUCCGGAACUGCCUUUGAUACUGGCGACCUUGAGGCUGGAAGAGGUUAGUGGAAUUCCCAGUGUAGAGGUGAAAUUCGUAGAUAUUGGGAAGAACACCAGUGGCGAAGGCGGCUAACUGGUCCAGAUCUGACGCUGAGGAGCGAAAGUGUGGGGAGCGAACAGG